CAGUCGCCACGGUAAUACGUAGGGUGCGAGCAUUAAUCGGAAUUACUGGGCGUAAAGCGUGCGCAGGCGGUUCGGAAAGAGAGAUGUGAAAUCCCAGGGCUUAACCUUGGAACUGCAUUUUUAACUACCGGACUAGAGUGUGUCAGAGGGAGGUGGAAUUCCGCGUGUAGCAGUGAAAUGCGUAGAGAUGCGGAGGAACACCGAUGGCGAAGGCAGCCUCCUGGGAUAACACUGACGCUCACGCACGAAAGCGUGGGGAGCAAACAGGAUUAGAUACCCGUGUAGUCCCUGUCUCUUAUAC
rnacentral:rRNA from 1 species